rnacentral:rRNA from 1 species
UACGUAGGGUGCGAGCGUUGUCCGGAAUUAUUGGGCGUAAAGGGCUCGUAGGCGGUUUGUCACGUCGGGAGUGAAAACUCGGGGCUUAACCCCGAGCCUGCUUCCGAUACGGGCUGACUAGAGGUAUGCAGGGGAGAACGGAAUUCUUGGUGUAGCGGUGAAAUGCGUAGAUAUCAAGAGGAACACCUGAGGUGAAGACGGGUUGCUGGGCUGACACUGACGCUGAGGCGCGAAAGCUAGGGUAGCAAACGGG